rnacentral:lncRNA from 1 species
CGGCCAAAAGGGAAGAGAUGAAAAGGUCCCGGGGCUGGCAGCUGGCGAACUGACGGGAGGGGCGCCGGGAGCGCGGUGAGGGGGGCCGCCGAGGCUGACCUGGGCUGAAAUUUAUAUAUUUAAAGAAGGAGCGGUUCGGUCCUGCCUUCCACUGCGGCGCUGAGAGCAGGAGCAGCAGCAGCUCCGGAGCAGAGAAGCGCACACGUGUGUGCGUGCGUGUGUGUGUGUGUGUGUGUGUGUGCGUGUGCGCGCGCUGGGGGCGAGCCCAGCGCACCGCGGGGAGGAGGGUGCGCUUCGCAGGGCGCUCGGUACUCGGUCGGGUGCCGCAGGGGCCGCAGAGGCUGCUGAGGCGGCGCGGAUCCUGCUCUGGGAGCUGCGCUCCGUGGCCUACACCCUGGCGGGCGCGCGCUGACCCGCUUGGUUACUCCACGUUGCUGCCGCCGCCGCUUGCAAACGCUUCCAGCCUCCAGCUCCCUCCUUCUCCUGCUCCUCCUUCUCUUGCUCCAAACGCCAACCCAGCCACAGACGAUCAGCCGUCGCGGUUGCGUUCACCCCCUGCGGAUCACAACGGCAGCCCUUGCGACACCCUGGCUGGGGAGUUUUAUUCCUGAGGGGGUUGCGCAGGGGCUCCCUUGGACUCCCACCCUUUCCCAACCUCUGCUGGCUUCUCCCCAACGUGGAAUUGCUCGCUUAGGGUAGGUAGGCACUUGCCACCCUAAAAUAGAUCCUCUCUGUCUCCUCCUGUCUGCAGCCGGGCAGCCCCUCAGUUUGUUCCUGGAUGACUCCCUAGACCGUCAGGCUAAUAUUCUCCAUCCCCCUCCCCUGCCUCUUUCACUUGCGCUCUCGCUCUGCUGUCUCUUUCUCUCUUUCUCUUUCUAUCUCUAUCUCAAUCUGUCUUUCUCUUGUCAGGAGCUUCUGGAGCUCCGCUCGGAGCGAACCUUCUGCUGCCAGCAGAUAACAUCACGAUCUUGCCGGGGAGGGGAGAUUUAUAAGUUCUCUCUGAACCACGUGUCUGCCUUCAACAAAGUGACGUGCUAGGAUUACAGUCAGAAGUCCUCUCGUUACUUAGACCACGAGCUCUCCCCGAACCGUUGAGGGAGUGUGGAAAUGAGGACCGCUGUGGUUACUCAAAGUCAACAUUUUCAUUUCGGCAUGACUCUGCAGCCAUACUGACCAGACAGAUGAUUUAAACUGGAAACUCUGUUGAAUGUACUCCCAAACCCAAGAUCUCUAUACUGUUCUCUACUUCAGAUGUUCCUGAGUUCAGAAAAGUCACAAAGAACUUUCUAUCACUUUUGGAAUUUAUACUUCAGUUGUGUAUGGGGCCUAGGUUAUUAGUAGAGCACUGAAUAAAUAAAAUAAUAAUAGCUAACAUAUACUACACUUAGUAAUUUGAUGUGUGUUGUGUAUGGUCAUUUAAUCUUCAC